rnacentral:rRNA from 1 species
UGAGGAAUAUUGGUCAAUGGGCGAGAGCCUGAACCAGCCAAGUAGCGUGCAGGAUGACGGCCCUAUGGGUUGUAAACUGCUUUUGUAUGGGGAUAAAGUCAAUCACGUGUGAUUGUUUGCAGGUACCAUACGAAUAAGGACCGGCUAAUUCCGUGCCAGCAGCCGCGGUAAUACGGAAGGUCCGGGCGUUAUCCGGAUUUAUUGGGUUUAAAGGGAGCGUAGGCUGGAGAUUAAGUGUGUUGUGAAAUGUAGACGCUCAACGUCUGACUUGCAGCGCAUACUGGUUUCCUUGAGUACGCACAACGUUGGCGGAAUUCGUCGUGUAGCGGUGAAAUGCUUAGAUAUGACGAAGAACUCCGAUUGCGAAGGCAGCUGACGGGAGCGCAACUGACGCUGAAGCUCGAAGGUGCGGGUAUCGAACAGGAUUAGAUACCCUGGUAGUCCGCACAGUAAAACGAUGGAUGCCCGCUGUUGGUACCUGGUAUCAGCGGCUAAGCGAAAGCAUUAAGCAUCCCACCUGGGGAGUACGCCGGCCGG